rnacentral:lncRNA from 1 species
AACUCCGAAAGCUUGCUGGAAGGCAAAUCAACACUCGCUAGCGUGACCCGAGACUCCUGAAUCUGCACACAGGGUGCAAGAAGCAAUGUCCGUAUGCAACCUCAGUGAGUAAUAAAAGUAAAGGUAGCUGAGCAGUAAGAAAACACGUAAACCACAACAUUACACCACACCAAAAUAGUAUAAGUCUAGAACAAUGCAUUAAAAAAGUAAAACAUGUGAAAACAUCUCAGUUCAAAAAAACCUCUUUAAAACAUCUUUCAAUAGUUUCAAACGAGUGAUGAAAACAGUGAGAAAAGGAUAGAAACGUAAAACAACCCCUCGGGCAAAACAAGCACCACAACCGCCCCUCGGGCAAAAUAUCAAUAGAACCAACCCCUCGGGCUACCUAACAAUCACUCGUAUCAACCCCUCGGGCAAUAACAUGAAACAACAACUGCCACACCUCCUUUUUUACCGGAAAAGGAUAUAAGAGAGUUUUUCCAAUUAAAGUGACAAUAAUCGAAACAGGAUUAUUUAUUCAAAUUCAGAGUCACCACUUGGGAUGAUUUAUGGUGUCCCAAGUCACCGGUUUAAAAUCCCGAAUCGAGGAAGAUGACUCUAUUUAUGGUUCGCGAAACACAAAAAUCCGGGUAAGAAAUUCUGUUAACCCGGGAGAAGGUGUUAGGCAUUCUCGAAUUCCAUAGUUUUAGCACGGUCGCUUUAAUCAUACUUGGCUUAAUUAAAUUGUCUAAUAACUUAUUUUAAAACCUUUGUGCAUUUACCACUUUUAAUUAGGAAAUUAUCCUAAGAUGAGUCACGCGUACGUGUACUCAUUUCAUUUGGCACGUAAAAAUCAUGUCACGCGUACGUGUCCACAAUUAAUCACACUUUAUUAUUAUUAAGAAAAUUUGGCCGAAGUUGCGCGAACGCAUACCUUGAAUUUAUUUUUAGAAUCCUAAUUAUAUAACGCGAACGUGUACACAAUCACGAUAAUAGAUUAAUUAAGAGCGUGCUUGAAGAUAAUAAUGAUCCCAAAGUAAAGAAAUCAUAUAAAAAAUAAUUAAAAAAAACAAAUGUCCAUGAAAUUCGUCUCUCUGCUACUAUUCAUUUCAUUUUUAAUUUAACCCAUGGUCCAACUACUUUUAUGUUUCAAGAGCGGAUUUCCCAUGGACAAACAACUAAAAUCACAGUUUCUCCAAGAUUCAUUAAUUAUUGUUCUUCCUAAAUCCUUCAUUUCAACACAAAUCAACUAAAAAUCAGCCAUUCCGUAUGACACACUAGCAAUAAUACAUCCAGUCAAUCAACUGGAUUAGCACAAGUAAUUAUAUAGAUAAGUAUCACAACACAGUAUUAAACUUGUGAUUAAAGAGAGAGAGAGAGUUAUGGACCUCAACAAGACAUAUUCUCCAAAUUGAUUUUUUGGCUAAAACGUACAAAUGUGACAAACUCCGACAUCUAAACCAAACGGAAAACAAACAUCGCAACAGAAACUCCGUCAGGAACCACAAACGACAAGCUCAACUUUAACGGGGACCUCUAAUCGGCGACGAACUCCAAUCAAACUCGACUUAACUUCAUUUCCAUACUUGAAAACAAAAAAUCAAAACCCAAAUUUUCCUCCUCAAUUCUAUCCGUUCUUUUUACCUAACUGUGUGCGAUUGUAACAACAGAAAAAGAAUAAAAAUAGAAGAAAAUGACCAUAAUGGCCGAAGUCAUCUUUUCCCUCUCGUCACUGUUUUUUGUGAAAUUCUAGCUGCUGAAUCUUAGAGAUUAGGACUAGAGUUUUUCAGGUUCUUCAAAAGGGAGGGCUUCCGCUUGUUUCUUGGAGUUAUUGGAACAGCCGCCAUGAAGGCCCACCGGAAUUUGGCCAGCUCGACAGCAAGAUAGAAUCAAAUGAAAGCGAAACGAGGGAGGGAGGUCGUUCUCUAUUGGGGGUGGUCUGCUACUCCUCGUUUCUUUCGAAGAAGAAGGUCGCUAGUCGUGAGACAAAAUCUUGAAGAAGAAGGGUGCUUGCUUCUCUUGCUGUGUGUAUUAAGUUGCUCAUCUAGGGUGUGGUCAGAUGAUGGAAAAUGGCUCAUCUUUUGUGUAUUAGGUUGCUAUAGGUUCGUUCAGGGUGAAGCCCAAGAAGAAGACAUGGUUGAAGGGCCUUGUGUCGCUGCUUGUUCUCUUCGGUCCGAAGAAGAAGAAUACGUUGAGGGAUGGUUGUUCUUGGGAGUUGCGGCUGGUUCAUUCAAGGGAGUUCUCUAGGGUUUUCUAAUGAGGAAGAAAGGGUGCUCAAGGCUUUUUUCCCUAAAAAACGGUUGAUGAUUUUUUUUCUCAGGUCCUUUUUGUUGUGUCUCAUGUCUAGGGUUAAGAAGAAUGGUUUUUUUUAGGUUAAGGGAGUAUGAGCUUGGUCUGAUUGGGACUUAAAAUUGGGCCAAAAAAUAAAAAUGGACUACAAAAUUCAUUAAAAUGGGAUAAACCAACCCAAAACUAACUCUUCCU